rnacentral:rRNA from 1 species
GGAAUUUUCCGCAAUGGGGGAAACCCUGACGCAGCGACGCCGCGUGGAGGAUGAAGGUUUUCGGAUUGUAAACUCCUUUUGUAGGGGAAAAUAGUGAUGGUACCCUACGAAUAAGCCACGGCUAACUCUGUGCCAGCAGCCGCGGUAAGACAGAGGUGGCAAGCGUUGUUCGGAAUUACUGGGCUUAAAGGGCGCGUAGGUGUCCUGGCAAGUCAGAUGUGGAAGCUUCUUGCUUAACGGGAAAAUGGCAUUUGAAACUGCCGGGAUUGAGUCAGACAGGGGAUGGCGGAAUUCCUGGUGUAGCGGUGAAAUGCGUAGAUAUCAGGAGGAAGGCCGGUGGCGAAGGCGGCCAUCUGGGUCUGAACUGACACUGAGGCGCGAAAGCGUGGGGAGCAAACAGGAUUAGAUACCCCUGUAGUC